rnacentral:lncRNA from 1 species
UCCAUUUUAUGCAUCGCUCAAUCUUCAUCAUCCGCAUAGUAAAUAAUAUUGUCUAACGUCAUUAACCUGCAAAAAGUUUAUGUUUGCAAGAUUGAGCUGGACAGCCCAACAAAUUUAACAGUCUAUCAUGUUUCACAUAGCACACAAUUCCAUAUGCACUAUAUUUCCUUUAUUAUGCAUAUCUGCCUGCAACAUGUAUUCUUUACUAUGCAUAUCCUACAUGCAACAAUAAUUCCUUACAAAGCAUACAUUCAUGCAUUAUACAUUUCUAAUUUAUCGAGUUACAUUAUACAACACGUGCUAUCACAUAUCACAUAUAAAUUGAGUUCCAUAACCCAAUUAACUUAGUCAUAUUUUGACUUUAACAAUUCAUAAAGUAUGGUAUGUAACUCACCACAUAAUCACAUUUAAUCCACAAACAUCAUAGAACCGAAAAACUUGCCUUGAUUGGAGAUUACCACAAAAUUUAACUUAGAGUUUCUCCACAAUUCCUACAGAAUUAUAUUUACAUGCACACACAUAUUAGAUAAUCGAAUAUGUUACAAAACAUGCAUGUAUAUUCAUCAAUAACAAUUAUUAGUUUUAUACAAACUAAUAUUACUUAUUCUUACUCAAAACGAAUAUUAGUUCAUUUAGAAACUUAAUUCCUUUUGACCUUUCUAAACCAAAUAAAGGUCCCUCACAUUUGAGUAUAUAAAUAUUUUACACUUUGAAGAUUCAAUCAUUUAUAUUCCGCUUUAGGAAUAUCUUAUGUCUUAACUCAUUAAUUCAGGACUUAAACAGCUAAUAAAUAGCUUUUAUAGUAAAAUUCAAUUUACUAUAUUAUUCCCUUAAUAUAAAUAAUUUUUAUAUUAUUAUUUUACCUGUUUAUGAGUCAACUCGAAUUAUUGUAUUUUAUCCCGCUAACACUUUCGCUUUACUUUUCUUUUUGCAAAGUUGUAUUUUCACUAUAUAUGAACGUAUUAACCACACAAACAUACCAUAUAACUUGUACAGUUAUAUUUUAAAUAUUCUCAUUGACCACACAAUCAAUUUUAUUAUUAUUUUAACCCAUCAUAUUUCCAAGCAAUACUAAACAGCCCCAUAAAAUAAUAGCAACCCAAACUUGGCUCUACAGCCCCAUAAAAUAAUAGCAACCCAAACUUGGCUCUACAGCCCCAAGCUUAGCUUUUAGCUUGUAGAUUCAAUUAUGUUGAGAAAUAACAUAAAUCUCUUCUUUUAAUCUCCCGUCGAAUAUUAUUAAUAUGCAAUAAUAUUUUAUACUAAGGUUACUAACCUUUUAAUAACAUUUCCCUCAAAUACUACUAAUAAUAUCUCAACACAAUACUAUUAGUCAUAUAAAAAUAACUCAAAUCAUUAAACCCGUUAAUAAACAAUUGUUUUCAAUUGUUUUCCUUUUCCGUAAUUAAUAAACUUGUUUAAACAUUAUAAAAUGUCAUAAACAUCAUAACAUUAUAUACCCGACCCAAAGCUUCAUCAAAAUAUGCACAAGACAUGCUCAAAGGGUCUCACGCUAUAAAUCACAUUAUUCCUAUUUUUGGACACUUUUGAUUUUCGAAAAUUUUACCCAGCCUCGCUAAAACGGCUAUAACUCUCGCGUUUUAAAACAUUUUUGAGCGAUUCUUGAGCCCACGCGAAGAUAACUUCCAGGGCUACAACUUUUAUCUCACGAUAUUUUUCCAAAAUCAUAACACAUCAGUCCAAAUAUUUACAUCAAGGUGGCUGUUCGGGAUUUGGUGGACAGUUUUGAUACACACCUUCCGAACGCCAUAACUACCUCAUCCGGAGUCGGAAUUAGUCCGUUCCGGAGUCUAUGGAAAGAUAAAUCAGAGUACUACAACAUAUCAAAAGCCCAGAAUUUUUAAAGCAUAAAAAUAUGGACGAAAUUGCCCCUGCCAUUGACUGAUCCGAAACAGUCCAUGAAAACGGGACUGUUUUCACAAAAUCAGUCACUACCCCAUGUAAACUGAACAUUUUUGAGAUCUACCACUUGGGUUUACUAGCCAACACAUAUAUCUAGCACUACUUUUUGACGGAUCACAAAAAUAAUGCAUAGAUUUAAAAUGGUGGAUUUUCAAAAUACAUAGAAAUUUUGGGUUUUCUAAACUAGAAAAAAAAUAAAUAAAUUAUUUUUCUCUUCUUUUGGUUUCCAACCAAAUCAACACCCAUCAUGGGUGGAUCUAUACUAGAAUCAAAGAAAAACACAUAGAUUAUAGGGUUUUAUACACCCAAAUCAAAACCCACUUCCAUAAAAUUACAAAAGAAUUAAUUAGAGGAAAGCUUAGGAAAGUAAUUAUAUACCUUCUUCUUCAUCUUCUUCUUCAUCUUCUUUUUCAUGGUGGAUCUUCCAUCUCCCCUCCCUUCCAUGGCUGCCGAAGCCUCUCUUCUCCUUUCUCUCUCUCGACUUUCUCACGUUCCUCUCCUUCUCCUCUUUUUCUUUUCUUUUCCCUUUUAUCUACU